rnacentral:rRNA from 1 species
CACGUAGGCGGGUCUUUAAGUCAGGGGUGAAAUCCUGGAGCUCAACUCCAGAACUGCCUUUGAUACUGAAGAUCUUGAGUUCGGGAGAGGUGAGUGGAACUGCGAGUGUAGAGGUGAAAUUCGUAGAUAUUCGCAAGAACACCAGUGGCGAAGGCGGCUCACUGGUCCAUUACUGACGCUGAGGUGCGAAAGCGUGGGGAGCAAACA